rnacentral:rRNA from 1 species
UACGUAGGGAGCAAGCGUUGUCCGGAAUCAUUGGGCGUAAAGCGCGCGUAGGCGGCCCCGUAAGUCCGCUGUGAAAGUCAAAGGCUCAACCUUUGAAAGCCGGGUGGAUACUGUGGGGCUAGAGUCCGGAAGAGGCGAGUGGAAAUUCCUGGUGUAGCGGUGGGAAUGCGCAGAUAUCAGGAGGAACACCAAUAGCGAAGGCAGCUCGCUGGGACGGUACUGACGCUAAGGCGCGAAAGCGUGGGGAGCGAACAGG